rnacentral:rRNA from 1 species
GAUGAACGCUGGCGGCGUGCCUAAUACAUGCAAGUCGAGCGAACAGACGAGGAGCUUGCUCCUCUGACGUUAGCGGCGGACGGGUGAGUAACACGUGGAUAACCUACCUAUAAGACUGGGAUAACUUCGGGAAACCGGAGCUAAUACCGGAUAAUAUAUUGAACCGCAUGGUUCAAUAGUGAAAGACGGUUUUGCUGUCACUUAUAGAUGGAUCCGCGCCGCAUUAGCUAGUUGGUAAGGUAACGGCUUACCAAGGCAACGAUGCGUAGCCGACCUGAGAGGGGGAUCGGCAACACUGGAACUGAGACACGGUCCAGACUCCUACGGGAGGCAGCAGUAGGGAAUCUUCCGCAAUGGGCGAAAGCCUGACGGAGCGACGCCGCGUGAGUGAUGAAGGUCUUCGGAUCGUAAAACUCUGUUAUUAGGGAAGAACAAAUGUGUAAGUAACUAUGCACGUCUUGACGGUACCUAAUCAGAAAGCCACGGCUAACUACGUGCCAGCAGCCGCCGUAA